CCUACGGGAGGCAGCAGUGAGGAAUAUUGGUCAAUGGGCGCGAGCCUGAACCAGCCAAGUCGCGUGAAGGAUGACUGCCCUACGGGUUGUAAACUUCUUUUAUAAAGGAAUAAAGUGAGGCACGUGUGCCUUUUUGUAUGUACUUUAUGAAUAAGGAUCGGCUAACUCCGUGCCAGCAGCCGCGGUAAUACGGAGGAUCCGAGCGUUAUCCGGAUUUAUUGGGUUUAAAGGGAGCGUAGAUGGGUUGUUAAGUCAGUUGUGAAAGUUUGCGGCUCAACCGUGAAAUUGCAAUUGAUACUGGCAGUCUAGAGUACAGUUGAGGGAGGUGGAAUUCGUGGUGUAGCGGUGAAAUGCUUAGAGAUCACGAAGAACUCCGAUGGCGAAGGCAGCUUACUAGACUGAGACUGACAUUGAUGCGCGAAAGUGUGGGUAGCAAACAGGAUUAGAUACCCUUGUAGUC
rnacentral:rRNA from 1 species